AUACGGAAGGUCCGGGCGUUAUCCGGAUUUAUUGGGUUUAAAGGGUGCGCAGGCGGCCGUGCAAGUCAGCGGUGAAAGCCCGGGGCUCAACCCCGGAAGUGCCGUUGAUACUGCAUGGCUGGAAUGCGGUCGAGGCGGGCGGCAAGGGGGGUGUAGCGGGGAAAUGCGUAGAUAGUCCACAGAACGCCGAUAGCGGAGGCAGCUCGCCAGGCCUGCAUGGACGCUCGGGCACGAAAGCGUGGGGAUCGAACAGGAUUAGAUACCCUGGUAGUCCACGCCGUAAACGAUGGGCGCUCGUCGUCGGCGGCAGACAGUCGGCGGCCAAGCGAAAGCGAUAAGCGCCCCACCUGGGGAGUACGGUCGCAAGGCUGAAACUCAAAUGAAUUGGCGGGG
rnacentral:rRNA from 1 species